rnacentral:tRNA from 1 species
CCGGGUGUAGCGCAGAUGGGAGCGCAUCUGUUUUGGGAACAGAGGGUCGCAGGUUCGAUCCCUGCCACUCGGA